rnacentral:misc_RNA from 1 species
UAUAAACUAUCACGACGCCCAAAAAGUCGUGGCUUGGGUCUUGCCAGCUGGCGUGAUUUCCCUGCGCUUUCGUGCGGGGUGCCAGAUCUAUGGCUUUUCCUCAAUGUGCCGAACGCAACCAUAUCUGGGCUGACUGCUUGGAUGAGGGAGUGGCGGCGGAGUCGUGGCUCAAUGAUAAUUUACGUGGUAAUGUGCGCGCUCCGCUGUCGUUUCUUCGUCUGUGGCUGACGUUUCAGUUGUGGCAAUGCAUUCGAUGCAAACUUGUUUUGCACCAUUUGGUGCUUAACUU